AUGCAUUGCCCACUCACCAGUCACAAGUCACAACACAUGGCUCGAUCUCUCCGUCCGAUGCAUCUCGUCGUCCUGGUGAUCCUUUCCACUAUGCCCCUGCCUUCUUCGUGGGGUGCCAUGUCCGACAACCAUGACCUGCUGAUGCUCGGCAGGUUCCACAGGUGGAUGUCGACGCACAACCGCACCUACCCCGGCGCCCACGAGGAGCUGCGCCGGUUUGACGUGUACCGCCGCAACAUGGAGUACAUCGACGCUGCAAACGCGGGCGGUGAGCUCGGCUACGAGCUCGGGGAGAACGAGUUCACCGACCUCACCCACGAGGAGUUCACGGCACGGUACACUGGAGGUAAAUUUGUCAUGAACGACGAUGAUUUUGUUGAUGAGACGAUCAUCACCACUCUUGCCGGGGAUGUCCACGAGGGGCGCGAAACGAUGGAGGACGAGGAUAGCCUGGGACUUCCUGAAAGGUGGGAUUGGAACGAGCAGGGCUUUGUUACACCGGCUAAAAACCAACAGAAAUGCGGAGCAUGUUGGGCAUUCGCCACAGUGGGAGCAGUUGAAAGCCAGCUGAAAAGGAAAACCGGGGAGCUACUGGAUCUAUCUGAGCAGGAGCUACUAGACUGUGACACGACACAGAAACCCGGCGGCUGCAAGGGUGGGAAUCCCUACAGGGCGUUUCUGUGGAUAAAGAGCAAGGGAGGCAUCAUGAAGGAGGCCGAGUACUCAUAUGAGGCACAACAGGGGCAGUGCAGGACCAACAAGGACGCCACCCGUAGGGGCCUGGUCUACCGGGCACAACUACUGAGGUCAGGGGAGAGGUUUCUGCAGGAGGCCGUAUAUACGAUGGGCCCGACGGUCGCCGGCAUCGACACGCACGACCGCAGCCUGCAGCACUUCAAGAGCGGCAUAUACAAAGGGCCAUGCGGCACUGCGCUGGACCACGCGGUGCUCGUGGUGGGAUACGGGGUCAGAGACGGGGAGAAGUACUGGGUCGUCAAGAACUCGUGGGGGCAGACGUUUGGCGAGAAUGGCUUCUUCCUCAUGAGCAGGGGAGCUAAUGGAAACGCCGGGCUGUGCGGCAUCGGGAAGGCGGGCGUCUACGCCCUCGUGUAG
rnacentral:rRNA from 1 species